GCAUUCUGUAGACACCGAAGGAAGCCACAGCUCUCCAGUCUGUUGAACGGCGUGCCUCACACUCAUCUGGAAUCCUCACAGGGAGACGCAGCACAGCCAUGAGUGGGAAAAAAACACCUGGAGCAACAACUGGAAACAUCAAACCAUCUGCUGGCCAAGAUGAAAAGAAGAUCAACGUCCCUCAGGACUUCGACAUUGACAUGGAAGACCCGGACACACAGAGGGCCGCGGUGGCCAUCCAGUCUCAGUUCAGGAAAUUCCAGAAAAAGAAGCAGGAUGUAAAGUCAUAGAGCAAAUGUUUUUGCACAGUCCUGAUAUGGUCUUGGUUUUGCAUGUCAAUCAAACUGCACUGUUAAGAACUGUGAUGACAGAAGGCAGGAGGUGGAUUUGGGAGGAUGGGCUGAAAUAUACUAUUAGGAAAAUCUGUGUAACUCAUUCAUUUUAACACUAAAACAUGUUCAAAACUCCUUUUUUAAUAUGUGUAUUGUUUAAGUAAAUGUUUUAUUUAUGUGUAGUUAUUUGUUUUGUUUUAUUUUACAUUAGUAACACUUUAAGGUGUUACGUCUGUAGAACUUCUGAAUCAAUGUUUUUUGUUGAGCCACAUUUAUUCUAAUAGAACCAUGUAAGCCACAAUUUUUUAUUGUCAAAAAAUGGGAAUAAUGUUUUAAAACAGAAGAACACUGGCAGGUCAGAUUAUUUAUGAUUUAAUAAGGAACUCAAAUAAAAAGUUAGGGACCCACUGAAUGUCUUUCUAGCUAUAAUUGUGGAACACUUUAGCUCUUGCUUUCACACUGCUAUCUUUAUCUGAAGUGAAUGUUCUGCUGUCCCUGACAUGAGCCCCUCACAGCUGUGUGAAAUAUUGUGUUUGUACUGUCAUUUCUGUUGUGUCUUGUUUUUGCUACAACAUAAUUGAGUCAGUGUUACUCUAGAGUUUAUUCAUAUAUGCUUACUGUUCAAGCAGACAGACUUAUGUGUGCAAUCUUGCACGCAUGCAUGCAUUUAAAAAAAAUAACUAAUAAACAAAAUAAAGUCAACACUGAUGAGCCACA